AUGAUGGACUAUAGGACAGGACUGCUGCUGUUAACUGUCUGCUGGGCAGGUGUUGAUGGUCAGACUCUGACAGAAUCUGAACCAGUGGUUAAAAGGCCUGGAGAAUCUCACAGAUUGACCUGUACAGCCUCUGGAUUCACAUUCAGCAGCUACAGGAUGAACUGGGUCAGACAGGCUCCUGGAAAAGGACUGGAGUGGAUCGCUUAUAUCAGUCAACCCAGUGGUGACACCCAGUACUACCCUCAGUCAGUCAAAGGCCGGUUUACCAUCUCCAGAGACAACAGCAGACAGCAGGUGUAUCUGCAGAUGAGCAGUCUGAAGACUGAAGAUUCUGCUGUUUAUUAUUGUGCUCGACAGCCACAGUGACUGGAGUUGGUUGAGCAGCUGUACAAAAACCUAUGGUACACGUCUUUAUUGGACUGAAGGAGCCCAAGCAUG